UAUCGCUGCUUUGUCGUGCCUAUGUCGGGUUGAACUCUUGACAAGCUAACGGCACCUCAUAAGUUCCCGACAGUAUGUCAUCCAUUCCACCUGACAAAGACACGACAAAGCAACGAUAAGACAUAGCCGACCAAUCUCGCUCCGCCUUUUAACCUAUGUCAUCUAUGUCGUCCGGACAAACAAAAAGUUUCAAAAAACAUCAUAUCAAGAAAUUUAGCCGGUGCCAAAUUUCUUAGUAUUGUGUGCUCAGGCCUUUAGAAUACUAAAAUAAUUUAGUCUUAUCUAUCUCAAAGAUCAAAAGGUAUUCUAAAAUCCAUUUUUAACUUAUGUUUUUUGUCUUUUAAACUAAGGAUGAUGACUACCUACUUGUGUUCUUCAGGUGGUCCAGAAAUAUUCGGUCUUCACGGACCCGGACCUGAGGGUUUAAACUUCCGCCCACCUCACUCCAAUGACAAAUUCGAUUGUCCACCUCUGGACGUUCUACCGCCAGAUUUCUGCCCUCCUCUCAAAGACUUUGAGGAAUUUGAUCCACGGGACGCCGAUUUCCCUAUGAGAGAUCGCCCAGGCUUUGACCCACAGAGGCAUCCACCUGGCAGAGGUCCAUUUGAAGGCCCUAUCGAUGAUUUUGGUCAAGCAGGCAUGUUCGAGCCCCGAACUCGGCCCGACUUCUUCCCGCCGCAUGGUAUGAGAGGUCCACGACCUCGUGGCAUGCCACCCUUGUUAAGUGGUCCUCCAGGUUUAAUGGGUCUAAUGUUUCCUCCCCGGGGCCCCAUGGGUAUGCGAGGAGCUCCAAGACCUGGUAUCUGGCUUGAUCCGAUUGGAGGUCUGAAUGGUCCGCCACCGAGAGGUCCAAACCCUGAAGAUUUGUUCCGAGGACCAGCCUUUGAAGACUCUCCGUUUGGUAGUCACGCCGAGGGAACCAGUGGCGACCUCGUGAUGACGAUCGUCGGAGAGGCCGUGAUGAAGAACGUUUUGGUGACGGCCGCAGAGAGAAUAAAGACACAGGUAGGCAAGGAAGAACAGAGGAGGAAAACACCCUCAACCAACUUCAAGGGAGAUCAAGCGAACCGGUGA
rnacentral:lncRNA from 1 species